UUGGAUCCUGGUUCAGAACGAACGCUGGCGGCAAGCUUAACACAUGCAAGUCGAACGGACCAUACGCGCAGCUUGCUGCGUGUAUGGUUAGUGGCAGACGGGUGAGUAAUGCAUAGGAAUCUACCUAGUAGUAUAGGAUAGCCACUAGAAAUGGUGGGUAAUACUGUAUAAUCCCUGCGGGGGAAAGAUUUAUCGCUAUUAGAUGAGCCUAUGUCAGAUUAGCUAGUUGGUGGGGUAAUGGCCUACCAAGGCGGUGAUCUGUAGCUGGUCUGAGAGGAUGAUCAGCCACACUGGAACUGAGACACGGUCCAGACUCCUACGGGAGGCAGCAGUGGGGAAUAUUGGACAAUGGGCGCAAGCCUGAUCCAGCUAUGCCGCGUGAGUGAGGAAGGCCUUAGGGUUGUAAAACUCUUUCAGUAGGGAAGAUAAUGACGGUACCUACAGAAGAAGUCCCGGCAAACUC
rnacentral:rRNA from 1 species